rnacentral:lncRNA from 1 species
CUGUCCCGCCCGCCCGCCAGCCCGCCAGCCAGCGGCGGCUCCUCCGCAGUGCUUUCGGCUGCGAGCCUGGGCGGCGGCGCUUGACUUUCGGGGAGCCCCGUGGCUUGGGCAAGCUUACUCCUCCGCUCUAAGCGUCCGCCCCUCACUGCCUGUGAAACCCUUACAACCAUGAGGGAACACCUCAAAGGGUAAGUGGAUCGCAGCCCUGGACCCCCUCUUAUCCCCGCAAUUCGUGCACUUGUGGCACGAGCAGCUGCCAGGGGAAGGCAAAACUUGGACCAGAAGCAGUGCUAGCUGGUGGCGGCUGGUAUCAGCUAGACCGGGGCUUCCGGGCAGGUCUCCCCGCCUGUCCUGGGAGCCUCUGCAGGUGCGUCCCUGGGGCUUCCACCCCGGCGCCAGUGCUUGCCAGCCAGCUCCUUCCUGGCUGCUGGGACGGCUCGGAGAGCUAAAGCGGAUUUCUCGCUUUGCCCAGAGAGGGACAGCUGGUUUCCUCCUGCGGGGAUCGGGCCCGGGGAGCUUUUUGCUCCUUUGUGGGGCUCCCAGUUUGGACAGGAACCAGGCGGACUGUUCCCCGAAACCGUCAUUGGACCUGGCAGGAAAAAGGGGCGCACGCACGCGGUUCUACCUUGCAUUGCACUGCUAAGUGCCAAAAGGUCAACUUUCUGCCUGAUUUCUUCCGAGGAUUCCAACUGACAUUUCCCUCCCUGUGUUUUCUCCUGUGCUUAUUCCAUGCUGCAGGACUUGGAGAAAUAGAGAAAACACGGGCAAUUAAAGCCUAGAAAGUCAAGGAAUUGACUGAGAAAAGAAAGGGGGGCUUAAGGGUUUGAGAUUUUCUAUGUACUGUUAUUAUUUGUAGUAUUAUUAUUAAUGUGCUUAUUGGGUUUUUGAGGUUCAGUGUGGAGUCAUUUCAGAGUGCGUUCUCUGUUCUCCGGGUGUCUGCUAAGUCCUUAAGCAAAGUUUGUGAUUCUUAAUCUGAUCACAAUGGAAAGGGCAAGACACUGCUUAUCUCACUUAAAUGUGAAGUUAAGUUUGAAACUUAAAUUGAAUGGGGUUAAUUGUCCAAGGGAGCCAUAGUAUUAAUUAUAAAACACUUUAAUCCCAAGUGUGUGUGUGUGUGGGGGGGGGAUCCAUCUUCUGGUUUAAGUCAAAGUAAAGUCUUUAAGUGAAAUCAACAUUCUUUCUUUAGCAAAUGUUCUUCCUGGUUCCUGAGUUAACUCUCCCUGUCUGUCCUUGCCAACCCAUCAUUGUGUGUGUGUGUGUGUGUGUGUGUGUGUGUGUGUGUGUGUGCCUAGAUAAUUUUAUUUCCUCGUUCCAAACCUGGGGAGGAUACCCUUGCUCUUAAAGAAGUGAGAGGGGCAAAGGAAACAACAUGGCUAUAUGAAAGGUUUCUGACCCUUGAGCAGUGUGGAAUUGCUUUCAGUCGUCAGUGUUUGAUCAUGCAUUGGACAUGACCCUGAAAUGAAAUUGCCUUGGCCAAAGUUGAGGGUGGGUGGGAGGUAAGCCUUGAAAAACAAAUAGAGCUGGGAGGACAAGUAACAGCUGGAACAGCCACCAAGGCCAUCAUCUUUGCCCCGAGUUCACCCAAACAGAAUGAAAUGUUAACUGUCUCUGAGAGCGAGACAUGGGAACAAAAAUCAGACUGCUGGGGCUUAGAUUGACACAUAGCCACUGAAGUCCCUUCCCCACAGUAGCAGAAACUUCUAAAUCUGUUUUCCCAUCCCCACCCUGCCAGUGUUCCAGCAGUACUAGCCAAGUUCAACAAUUCAGCAUGCAAAUGCCAAGGCUCCUCUAGAAAGUGUCUGAUCCCCAGAUUAAAUGGAAAUCUGUAUGUGUGUGUGUGAAUGUGUUUGUUUGUGUGUGUGUGUGUAUGUGUGUGUUCCAGAUCAUAUAUGAAACUAGACCCUAAUCCCAAGUAAAACGCCAGAGAAGGCUACUUUUUUUUUUAAUAUUGGUGCAUAGUGAUUAGUUCAGCCCUGGG